GGCUCAGGAUGAACGCCGGCGGUAUGCUUAACACAUGCAAGUCGAACGGGAAUCUUAGGAUUCUAGUGGCGGACGGGUGAGUAACGCGUGAGAAUUUGGCUUCAGGUCGGGGACAACAGUUGGAAACGACUGCUAAUACCGGAUAUGCCGGAAGGUGAAAGAUUUAUUGCCUGAAGAUAAGCUCGCGUCUGAUUAGCUAGUUGGUGGGGUAAGAGCCUACCAAGGCGACGAUCAGUAGCUGGUCUGAGAGGAUGAUCAGCCACACUGGGACUGAGACACGGCCCAGACUCCUACGGGAGGCAGCAGUGGGGAAUUUUCCGUAAUGGGCGAAAGCCUGACGGAGCAAUACCGCGUGAGGGAGGAAGGCUCUUGGGUCGUAAACCUCUUUUCUCAGGGAAGAAAAAAAUGACGGUACCUGAGGAAUAAGCAUCGGCUAACUCCGUGCCAGCAGCCGCGGUAAUACGGAGGAUGCAAGCGUUAUCCGGAAUGAUUGGGCGUAAAGGGUCUGUAGGUGGUGCUGUAAGUCUGCUGUUAAAGAGUCACGCUCAACGUGAUAAAAGCGGUGGAAACUACAGGACUAGAGUGCGGUCGGGGCAGAAGGAAUUCCUGGUGUAGCGGUGAAAUGCGUAGAUAUCAGGAAGAACACCGGUGGCGAAAGCGUUCUGCUAGUCCGCAACUGACACUGAGGGACGAAAGCUAGGGGAGCGAAUGGGAUUAGAUACCCCAGUAGUCCUAGCCGUAAACGAUGGAUACUAGGCGUGGCUUGUAUCGACCCGAGCCGUGCCGGAGCUAACGCGUUAAGUAUCCCGCCUGGGGAGUACGCACGCAAGUGUGA
rnacentral:rRNA from 1 species